rnacentral:tRNA from 3 species
GGGUCUGUAGUUUAGUGGCAAAACAAGGGUGUCCGAAGCCAAAGAUGGGGGUUCGAUUCCCUCCAGACCUGCCA